UUAAGUUCAGCGGGUAUCCCUACCUGAUCCGAGGUCAACCUUGAGAAAAAUUCAAAGGUUCGUCCGGCGGGCGACGCCAUGCGCUCCAAAGCGAGGUGUUUUCUACUACGCUUGAGGCAAGACGCCACCGCCGAGGUCUUUGAGGCGCGUCCCUGAGGACGGAGCCCAAUACCAAGCAGAGCUUGAGGGUUGAAAUGACG
rnacentral:misc_RNA from 1 species